AACGAACGCUGGCGGCAGGCUUAACACAUGCAAGUCGAGGGGGCAGCAAUGUCACCGGCGAACAGGUGCGUAACGCGUAUGCAACCUACCUACAUCAGGGGGAUAGCCCUAGGAAACUGGGAUUAACACCGCAUAACAUAUGACAAGGCAUCUUGUUAUAUUGAAAUAUUUAUAGGAUGUAGUGGGGCAUGCGUAGGAUUAGCUAGUUGGUAAGGUAACGGCUUACCAAGGCUACGAUCCUUAGGUGCUCUGAGAGGAGUAUCCCCCACACUGGCACUGAGAUACGGGCCAGACUCCUACGGGAGGCAGCAGUAGGGAAUAUUGGGCAAUGGAGGCAACUCUGACCCAGCCAUGCCGCGUGAAGGAAGACGGUCCUCUGGAUUGUAAACUGCUUUUGAAUGGGAAGAAUGUGUGGCUUGCGAGCUAUAAUGACGGUACCAUUAGAAUAAGCCACGGCUAACUACGUGCCAGCCGCCGCGGUAA
rnacentral:rRNA from 1 species